rnacentral:rRNA from 1 species
GACGAACGCUGGCGGCGUGCUUAACACAUGCAAGUCGAACGGAAAGGCCCUGCUUUUGUGGGGUGCUCGAGUGGCGAACGGGUGAGUAACACGUGUGUAACCUGCCCUUGACUUUGGGAUAACUUCAGGAAACUGGGGCUAAUACCGGAUAGGAGCUCCUGCUGCAUGGUGGGGGUUGGAAAGUUUCGGCGGUUGGGGAUGGACUCGCGGCUUAUCAGCUUGUUGGUGGGGUAGUGGCUUACCAAGGCUUUGACGGGUAGCCGGCCUGGGAGGGUGACCGGCCACAGGGCGACUGAGAGACGCCGCAGCAGCCUACGGUAGGCAGUAGGGGAGAAUAUUACGAAAGAAUCGGAAGCCUGAUGCGGCAGCGUCGCGUGCGGGAUGACGUGCUUCUGGGGGUAAACCGCUUUCGCCUGUGACGAGGCGUGAGUGACGGUAAUGGGUAAAAAAGCACCGGCUAACUACGUG